CUGGAUCAGAUUGAUGUGGAACUCAGG
rnacentral:piRNA from 1 species